CUUUAUCAAUAUCGUCAAUAUUAAGGCUUUUAAUGAGUAAUCUUGCGCUGGGAGCCGAUGAAAACUAAAACCAGUCUAGGACAGACGUGGUUUUAUGGUGCUCUUGGUAUCUUCCUCCAGCCAUUGUCAGCUCAGACAAGCCUUGGCCGUCGGAGAGUGAUCAUGAGACGCCACCUACUUGGAAUUCGUGAACUUCAAUGAGACCUGAAGUCACGGGUAACAAACAGUACUUUAGUAAAGAGAGACAACGGCCCUGUGCGUUGUAUCGGUUCCUUCAGCUGAACCUUGGUGUAGGGAACCCGCUUCUUUCUCCCUCGACGCACUGAGGCUCCAUCACCACCCGAGACGGUGUCUAGGGGGUCAGAAGGAAACCAAAAUAAGACGAUUUCCAUAAGCUGUUUGACUGCGUUUGGUCUUUAGGGCAGUACAUCGGACUGCUCCAUCCGUUCGUGAUCGCCCAGGGCUGGUACGUUUCGACGGGCAGAAGAGACUCGUGUCUGGUUUCCGCAGGGGUGCUCAGCGCUGGGACGACUGGCACGUCGAGGAGCUGGGCUGCGUGCAGGACUUGGGCAUCCUACACGGGUAAUAGCUGCCGCCAAAAUAUCCAUAGGGCAAAGAAGCACUGGGAGAGUUCUGUACGGCUGAACACGGACUGCAUUGUUUGACAGGUUCCCCCAUGCCCG